rnacentral:lncRNA from 10 species
GAGCACUCGCUCGCUAUCACGAGAACAGCAAGGAGGAGCUCUGCCUCCAUGAUCCAAUCACCUCCCACCAGGCUCCUUCACCAACGUUGGGGAUUACAAUUCAACAGGAGAUCUGGGCAGGGACACAAACCCAAACUAUGUCACCUGGGCACGGGGCAGCAGCUUGGAUCUCCCAGGAGUGGACCCUGAGACAGGAAGGCCCGUGCUGGAGCCCAGAAUCUCAGAGUCCCUGGCACUUGAAAGAAGCUGGGGCUAAUUACAAGGAGAACAAAUGGGGCCUGUGGAGGCAGAAGGACCUGGGCUCAGGUUGCAGCUCUAUGCUAAGGUAGUUUUUUUAUUGUGCUGUCUUGACCCAGUUUUGAGGCCCUGGCUAGAGACCGGUCAGUUCCCUCCUUGACCACGCCCUUUACGGCCCCUCACACUCCAGGCCACUGCACACCCUCCUGGAUCGCCCCAAGGCUAAGCUCCAGACAACCGUGGACAGCCCUGUGCCCCAGAGCUCAAAAUCGCCCAAACUAGCCAAUCCACAGGGAGCCCAAGCAACCCAGCCACCCCACCUGCUGCCGCCCACCAGCCGCCCGGCAGCCCCAGCUGGCUGCUACCCCAUCCCCGGGUGCCCCGUGUGGCCCUGCCCAGCAGCCUUCCUUGUUUGGAGCUGUAAGUGACAAAGCACUCUGCCUUUCUUCUCUGGAGUGUCAGCGUGCCAUGCCCUACAUCAGAAGAAACUUCAAAGUCUAUAAAACAGACAUAGGGCUGGGCAUACUGGCUCAUGCCUGUAGUCCCAGCACUUUGGGAGGCGGAGGUGGG